GAUGAACGCUAGCGGCAGGCUUAAUACAUGCAAGUCGAGGGGCAACAGGGGUAGCAAUACCUGCUGGCGACCGGCAAACGGGUGCACAACACGUACAGAACCUUCCUUUAAGCGGGGGAUAGCCCAUAGAAAUGUGGAUUAAUACCCCAUGGUAAUGUUUAGUGGCAUCACUAGAUAUUUAAAGAUUUAUCACUUAAAGAUGGCUGUGCGUCUGAUUAGGUAGNGGUGUGGGUAACGGCCCACCAAGCCAGCGAUCAGUAACUGGUGUGAGAGCACGACCAGUCACACGGGCACUGAGACACGGGCCCGACUCCUACGGGAGGCAGCAGUAAGGAAUAUUGGUCAAUGGACGCAAGUCUGAACCAGCCAUGCCGCGUGAAGGAUGAAGGCCCUCUGGGUU
rnacentral:rRNA from 1 species